rnacentral:rRNA from 1 species
AACUUUCAACCAACGGAUCUGCUUGGUUCUGGCAUCGAUGAAGAACGCAGCGAAAUGCGAUAAGUAAUGCGAAUUGCAGAAUUCAGUGAAUCAUCGAAUCUUAUGAACGCACAUUGCGCCCGCCAGCACUCUGGCGGGCAUGCCUGUUCGAGCG